rnacentral:rRNA from 1 species
GAUGAACGCUGGCGGCGUGCCUAAUACAUGCAAGUCGAGCGAACAGAUGAGGAGCUUGCUCCUCUGACGUUAGCGGCGGACGGGUGAGUAACACGUGGAUAACCUACCUAUAAGACUGGGAUAACUUCGGGAAACCGGAGCUAAUACCGGAUAAUAUAUUGAACCGCAUGGUUCAAUAGUGAAAGACGGUUUUGCUGUCACUUAUAGAUGGAUCCGCGCCGCAUUAGCUAGUUGGUAAGGUAACGGCUUACCAAGGCAACGAUGCGUAGCCGACCUGAGAGGGUGGUCGGCCACACUGGAACUGAGCCACGGUCCAGACUCCUACGGGAGGCAGCAGUAGGGAAUCUUCCGCAAUGGGCGAAAGCCUGACGGAGCAACGCCGCGUGAGUGAUGAAGGUCUUCGGAUCGUAAAACUCUGUUAUUAGGGAAGAACAAAUGUGUAAGUAACUAUGCACGUCUUGACGGUACCUAAUCAGAAAGCCACGGCUAACUACGUG